rnacentral:lncRNA from 12 species
AGUUCUGAAGAUUUAAAUUUUGUUAUCUUACCUCACCCCUUGACAUUUAUUAACAUUUCAGAGCUCUCCAGCCUCUCAGGAUCUGCUAUCUAGUUUGAAGAUGGCUUUUGUCAGUGCUGAAUACCAGCCAUGUCAGAAGAAGGAAGAAAAAUUUUUCAUCUGAAGAUUACUGAAUCAUUUUCUCAAUGAGAAGAACAAUCUGAGUGCUAGAGCCAUGUGGUGCCUUCUACUGCUAGGUGGAAAAAAACCCUAAAAUUUGAAUUCACCAAGUUGUGUUUUUGCUGUGUGAAAACAGUCCUUGUCUUCAAUUCCAAAGCAUAUUCAGGAGAAAGUGGAAAUCAAAGGAGGAUGAUAAGGAAAAAAAAAUCAUGGAAAACCCCAACAGUGGUGGUGGGAUGCUUCCAUUUUCUCUUUCAGACUGUGACUUGAAUGAAGCAUUAUUGAAUAAAAUGAAUUUCAACAAGAAUGAAGGGAUGGAAAAAAGAUACUGAAUUAAACUGAAAACAGUCCUUGGAUUUGUUCAACAGAGUUGCAGUUGGGGUUGGUUUUGUGCUGCUAAAUACUAUAUUUUAAGGUAAAGUAGUGCCUCUGGCAGGAAUUUUUAGAUGGAGGAGAAAAAGGAAUACAUGUUAGACUCAAAUCAGGUGUUCCUUGAUGCUGGUCAUGACUAUGUGAGUAUCAGAUGUCAUUAGUUAUCUUGUAUUGCAAGCAAACUUUCCUUUGACAGAAACUGGCAAGAUUUUAAAAAUCACACAUUUAUUUUACAGCAAAAAAAUCAGGUGGCUUUUUGAAUUCAACAAAACAGAGAAAGAGAUACUCACUACAUUAUUUUAUUAUAAUA